GAGGGUAUAGCUCAAUGGUAGAGUGCUUGCCUAGCGUGCACAAGGUCCUGGGUUCAAUCCCCAGUAAUUCCA
rnacentral:tRNA from 1 species